AGCAUCCCUCCACACUGUCUCAGUGACCCACCAUUAGGACCUAACUGUGGGGCCUCUUAUCACUUAGCAGAUCUCUAAUUUGAUGGUCCCCAGCAAGGCAGCACCAUCUUUCUGGACACCUAUUCCACUCCCUCCACACAGGAACAGUGUUUUCCCUUAGUCUAUACAUCUUUCCUAGUCUAAUGGCCUGUUCACAAAGAUCGUUAUUGCCUGGAACACUCAUAUCAUAAGCUAGGCCCUGGUGGUAGCCUUUGUGUUAAGCAUGACACCCACAGAAAAGGGACUGUAUCUUCUCUGACCCUGUGCCUACAGAGCAUCUUAUCACGGCACUAUGUUUUACCUACUGGAUGAGAUCUCAGCCGGCACAUAUCUGUCCUCCAGUGUCUGUCCAGUGCCCGGGUGCAGGAAGAGCCUACACCAUGCACCUUCCCAGCUGCCUCUGUCUUACUGUUAUUAAUUGGGUCAUGCUCACUGAGUCCGUCUCUGAAAGGCCACUAAAUAAGACAAAAAACACAUUCAUCCUUUAAGCAGAAGACAAAUGACAGCUUCUGAGGCAGAAGGCAGAUGGGACCCCCAGGGUUAAGCAAUUGGAGAGUCAUUCUCUAUUGACUGAAACUCCAAAGACAAGAAUAGCAGGGCAAUUAAGGGAGGAGGUUGGAGACUGCACAGACCACAUAUUUCUCAUUCUGAAGUCUGGAGACCUCCCUGAUCACACACGUGCAGAAAAGGCUCCUUGGAAGUGAAAAGAGAGUCAUGUCAAGGGAUAGUCUACUCAGCUCCUCUUUCAGUAGGAUCCAUCUUGGCUAAGAGAUGCACACACACACAUGGGAGGAUCCUGAGGUAUACCAAAUAUGGACUGUGAACCAGGCAAAUCAAAAUACUUGACCAAACGAAACCUGGAAGAAAUACUCCAUAAAAGUAAUCUAAACUGCUACAAGGGUGUGACUCAGGGACUCUCUCCUUGAAUCUGCCCGUGUGUCUAUCCACACAUACUGUACUCUUUGUCCUCCUAAUAAAUACUUCACUUGUUUCAC
rnacentral:lncRNA from 1 species